UAUGGCAAGGAAUCCCUGAUCUCUAGGAAUCUGAUAAAAUGAAGUUUGGUGUAUCCAUAUAAUGAAAUGCUGUGUUGAUAUUAACGUUGAUGUUUUAGGUAAAGAUGUAGAGCCACCGGAACUUUCAUACACUGCUGCAACCACUUUGGAGACUAUCAGCUUUUUCCACUAAAGCUGAACAUUAUAGUCUAGAAAUUGCACUCCUAAGCAGGAUGAGACAGCAUCCACACAAAAAUAAUCCCCUACAGACUCUCCAAGCAUGUCCGCUGUAGGCAGGAGUUAUCCUACAACCUUCCCAUCCUGGGAGGAGAGGUAACAACACCCACCCCAUUCCAUUCUGGCCUGCCCCCUCCUCUGGCGGCAGCGCCAGUCUCAGGUGAGAGCCACCCUGCUUGUUGCCAUUGUUCUGCAAGUGACAGCCUCAGGGGCAAAUGGAAAGCCGUCAACCUGAGGGCUGUCAACGGCAGACAAGAAUUCCUUUCUUUGUCAGGCUGGGUGGUCUUCGUGGCUUCAGCAUCAACCUGUACAAAGAUGAUAAACAUCGUGUGUGCUUGCAGGAAAACAUCGCCACCACCCAACAACUCUAACCACACUCCUUUGUGAGGCCAAGAUUAGCCUGUAUGUGGCUUCCCUCGACUGUGUACAAAUCAUCAAGUCCCAGCCCCAGUGAGGGCAUCCAGAGGUCAUUUAUUCCAUGUCCCCCCAUGUAGUCCUCCGACCUGCUGCCUCAUGACAUUUAUUUGUACCAGAAUCUUAAUCAUAGACAGUUGGAUGAUCCCUUAGAGAUCUCCUGGUUCAGCGCUCUCAGGCUACAAGAGGGGGUCCAGACACAGGCUGUGACUUGUCCAAGGUCACACAGCACAAGGACUAGGGCAGGGCAAGAACCCAUGUCCUGCAAGCCUUCCCCUUUGGAGUAUCCUUUCCACUACUCCAAGCUGCUUUUGUUAAUGUCACCCUCACCCCCAAAGUGCCAUGUAGUGUAAUUUCUAACUUUCCAAUAAAAAAGGAGUGUGUGUGUGAGUAACCUA